UCGUAACAAGGUUUCCGUAGGUGAACCUGCGGAAAGGAUCAU
rnacentral:rRNA from 1 species